rnacentral:rRNA from 1 species
AUUGAACGCUGGCGGCAGGCCUAACACAUGCAAGUCGAACGGUAACAGGAAGCAGCUUGCUGCUUUGCUGACGAGUGGCGGACGGGUGAGUAAUGUCUGGGAAACUGCCCGAUGGAGGGGGAUAACUACUGGAAACGGUAGCUAAUACCGCAUAACGUCGCAAGACCAAAGAGGGGGACCUUAGGGCCUCUUGCCAUCGGAUGUGCCCAGAUGGGAUUUGCUAGUAGGUGGGGUAACGGCUCACCUAGGCGACGAUCCCUACCUGGUCUGAGAGGAUGACCAGCCAAACUGGAGCUGAGAAACGGUCCAGACUCCUACGGGAGGCAGCAGUGGGGAAUAUUGCACAAGGGGCGAAAGCCUGAUGCAGCCAUGCAGCGUGUAUGAAGAAGGCCUUCGGGUUGUAAAGUACUUUCAGCGGGGAGGAAGGGAGUAAAGUUAAUACCUUUGCUCAUUGACGUUACCCGCAGAAGAAGCACCGGCUAACUCCGU